GGGUUUAAAGGGUCCGCAGGCGGGCAUAUAAGUCAGCGGUGAAAGCUACAGCUCAACUGUAGAACUGCCAUUGAUACUGUAAGUCUUGAAUUCGGUCGAAGUGGGCGGAAUGUGUAGUGUAGCGGUGAAAUGCAUAGAUAUUACACAGAACACCGAUAGCGAAGGCAGCUCACUAGGCCUGGAUUGACGCUCAGGGACGAAAGCGUGGGGAUCAAACAGGAUUAGAUACCCUGGUAGUCCACGCUGUAAACGAUGAUUACUCGUUUUCGGCGAUAUACAGUCGGAGACUAAGCGAAAGUGAUAAGUAAUCCACCUGGGGAGUACGAUCGCAAGGUUGAAACUCAAAGGAAUUGACGGGGGCCCGCACAAGCGGUGGAGCAUGUGGUUUAAUUCGAUGAUACGCGAGGAACCUUACCAGGGCUUAAAUGCAGGAUGCAUGAUGUGGAAACAUGUCAGUCUUCGGACAUCCUACAAGGUGCUGCAUGGCUGUCGUCAGCUCGUGCCGUGAGGUGUUGGGUUAAGUCCCGCAACGAGCGCAACCCCCAUCUUUAGUUGCUAGCAGGUAAUGCUGAGGACUCUAAAGAAACUGCCUACGCAAGUAGUGAGGAAGGCGGGGACGACGUCAAGUCAUCACGGCCCUUACGUCCUGGGCCACACACGUGCUACAAUGGUAGGUACAGAGGGCAGCUACUGGGUGACCAGAUGCGAAUCUCUAAAGCCUAUCUCAGUUCGGAUUGGAGUCUGCAACUCGACUCUAUGAAGCUGGAAUCGCUAGUAAUCGCGCAUCAGCCAUGGCGCGGUGAAUACGUUCCCGGGCCUUGUACACACCGCCCGUCAAACAAUGGAAGCUGGGGGUGCCUGAAGUCGGUAACCGUAAGGAGCUGCCUAGGGUAAAACUGGUAACUGGUGUUAAGUCGUAACAAGGUAACC
rnacentral:rRNA from 1 species